ACAUACUGACGAAGCAAUCGAUGUUGACCAGAUCAAAGUAUACCCCUGAGAUGGACUGAAAGACAGGACUGAGAAUGGAGGCCCUGAUCCCGACAACAUACUGAUGCAUCCUGAGGAAGUUGUCCUGAUCGGAUGAGCACAC